UGGUUGAGAGUCAUGAAAAAUUAUAACAAAUUUUGAGGUGAACUCCGCGAAAGAACAAAUAAUCAAUUGAAAUCAUGAUAACAAAAAAUUAAUCUGAGCGUGCAAAAAUUCAAGGAUCAUCAAAAGAAAGCGAUAUCAUUGAAGAAAAGUGGUUGGUAACAAUGUAAUGCUUAAUGCAUAUGCCAUUUGCAAGAAAGACUCGGUGUUCCAAAUUGAGCAAAAAUCAAAUGCCAAGGCCGAUGGCAGUGGUGAGUAGGCUCUCAAGGUCAAUUUUAAGGUACUGUUAUAAUAUUCAAAACCUACUCCAAAUCUGAAAAGGUUUCCUAAGAAGUAUAUCCAAAGGAGCUAUUGAUCAAAACGUUUUCACUCAACCAAUUAAUAAAUUAGUUAUGCAGCAAGCUUAAAGAAAAAAUAACAAGAUUGUGAAUUGGAGCUUAUGAUUUGCUGUAACCAUCUCACUUUGGAAAUUAUGAAAUUCUAUCAUCAAAUUGGCUCAAGUCUUGAGAGGUUUAGUGUUGAUUAGCUUGGCAUGGAAUACUGUUAGUCAUAUUCAAUUAAUACAAGCUUGGUUCUCUUCCUGUUUGCCUAUUCAUCAGCAGGAUACCUUUUUUUGC